AAAGCAUGCUCUAAGGAGGAACAAUCUCUGCAAAUGAAUGGCUCACAUUUAUAAAACUCCUCGACUUAAUUGUCACAGGCCCAGGCGCGCCAGGAUGGGGCUCAGGGGUUGGUGGGUCCAGCGGCUGUAAAGGAACAGGGUGGAGGUCCCAGGUUGAAAAAUUGUAAAAUUAUAAUUUUACAGCUAUGUAAUUUAACUACUUCAGUCGUCAUGUCUUUUUCUUUUUACAAAGUCAAUUUUCCUACAUAACUCCCAAUUUUUUUCACACCAUCUAAGUAAUAUUUUAAUAUUUUCCAUAUCCAAUCCGUAUUCAAAUUUCCCCAACUACCUCCAAAUGACUUAUGAAAAAAAAUGCUAUUUUAAUCGGGAGCCAAUAGCGGACUACACUUUGCAUUUGACAGCAGAGUUCAGGCUUAACCCUUAACCUCUUCGGGCUCCGAGGACCCUGGGCAGGAGAGAUUUAAGAACACCAUCCUCCCGCCAAGGCCAAGAGAGACUUGAAAUGUAGACGCGGAGGCCUAUGGGAAAUGUAGUUUUAAAUAGGUGAGGUUCACCGCCUGGACUCUGGGAAGGGUCGCCACGCUCCUUCUGCGCAUGUGCAGCCGUAGCCUCCUCGUUCGUCUUCUCAGGACUCCAGAGAACCGUUGGGGAACUUUGGGGUGUGCUCGGAAAAGGCAGGAGCUUCAGAGCAGAGACAAGAGCCCAGAAAGGAGCAGAUGCUAGAUUUGCAAGAUCAGAAGCAGGUCUUGAUCCCCCUGCCCAGAAUGAACCAGACUUGAUGAUGAUGCCACCUUCAGGAGCCACCACACUGUGUGACAGUGGGGCAUCUGGGCCGUCCCUGGGAAGAAGAGAUGCGCUGCUGUCACACAUGUCCACCACCACAUGUGACAUUAGUGACGUUAUCCUGAUGUCACAGGAUCCAAGAAUGAUGAUCUGUGAAGAGUUUUCCAAGGUCACCUACUUCUAA
rnacentral:lncRNA from 1 species